rnacentral:rRNA from 1 species
GAUGAACGCUGGCGGCGUGCCUAAUACAUGCAAGUCGAGCGAACAGAUGAGGAGCUUGCUCCUCUGACGUUAGCGGCGGACGGGUGAGUAACACGUGGAUAACCUACCUAUAAGACUGGGAUAACUUCGGGAAACCGGAGCUAAUACCGGAUAAUAUAUUGAACCGCAUGGUUCAAUAGUGAAAGACGGUUUUGCUGUCACUUAUAGAUGGAUCCGCGCCGCAUUAGCUAGUUGGUAAGGUAACGGCUUACCAAGGCAACGAUGCGUAGCCGACCUGAGAGGGUGAUCGGCCACACUGGAACUGGGACACGGUCCAGACUCCUACGGGAGGCAGCAGUAGGGAAUCUUCCGCAAUGGGCGAAAGCCUGACGGAGCAACGCCGCGUGAGUGAUGAAGGUCUUCGGAUCGUAAAACUCUGUUAUUAGGGAAGAACAAAUGUGUAAGUUACUAUGCACGUCUUGACGGUACCUAAUCAGAAAGCCACGGCUAACUACGUG